rnacentral:rRNA from 1 species
GACGAACGCUGGCGGCGUGCUUAACACAUGCAAGUCGAACGGAAAGGCCCUGCUUUUGCGGGGUGCUCGAGUGGCGAACGGGUGAGUAACACGUGAGUAACCUGCCCCUGACUUUGGGAUAACUUCAGGAAACUGGGGCUAAUACCGGAUAGGAGCUCCUGCUGCAUGGUGGGGGUUGGAAAGUUUCGGCGGUUGGGGAUGGACUCGCGGCUUAUCCGCUUGUUGGUGGAGUAGUGGCUUACCAAGGCUUCGACGGAUAGCCGGCCUGAGAGGGUGACCGGCCACAAUGGGCCUGAGAUACGGCGCAGACUCCAACGGGAGGCAGCAGUGGGGAAUAUGGCGCAGUAGGCGGAAGCCUGAUGCAGCAGCGCCGCGUGCGGGAUGACGGCCUUCGGGUUGUAAACCGCUUUCGCCUGUGACGAAGCGUGAGUGACGGUAAUGGGUAAAGAAGCACCGGCUAACUACGUG